AUACCUUAUUCGGCCUUUGUUUAAGAUUAAGUGUAGUAUCCAUUCUUACUAAUUUAAUAUCUUAUAUGUGGGUUAUCUGUCACAUGAUAUUAGCUUAAUUUUUUAAGGGGAUAGUUCACUAUGAUAGCUUGCUAUUAGGAUCAGGGGCGGAGCUAUACGGAGAUCGCGGGGUUUACCUAAACCCCUUGGUCAAAAAAUU